rnacentral:rRNA from 1 species
AGGACGACGCUGGCGGCGUGCCUAACACAUGCAAGUCGAACGGGAUCCAUGGAGUGCUUGCACUCCGGAAGAUCUAGUGGCGAACGGGUGAGUAACACGUGAGAAACCUGCCCCAGACUCUGGGAUAACCUCGGGAAACCGAAGCUAAUACCGGAUAUUCUCCUUUGGUCGCAUGGCCAGUUGAGGAAAGUUUUUCGGUCUGGGAGGGUCUCGCGGCCUAUCAGCUAGUUGGUGGGGUAACGGCCCACCAAGGCUACGACGGGUAGCUGGUUUGAGAGAACGAUCAGCCACACUGGAACUGAGACACGGUCCAGACUCCUACGGGAGGCAGCAGUGGGGAAUCUUGCGCAAUGGGCGAAAGCCUGACGCAGCAACGCCGCGUGCGGGAUGAAGGCCUUCGGGUUGUAAACCGCUUUCAGCAGGGACGAAAAUGACGGUACCUGCAGAAGAAGCCCCGGCUAACUACGUG